rnacentral:lncRNA from 10 species
UACAGCAGCCUCUGGACUAUAAACCUCAAAUUUCUGUUUCAAAAGUUAUCCCAGGGAAAACAUUCCAAAGUUUUAAAAAAAAACUUCCAGUUGAAGAAACAGGUUCACAGCUGCAUCAUUUGCAAUAGGCAAAAGGCGGAAGGAGCCCACGUGUCUACCCAUGGAAGAACGGAUAAGCAAAAUGUGGUCUCUCAUACAAGGGAGCAUUCUUCAGCUUUCAAAAGGAAGGACAGUCUGACGCAUGCUACAACAUGGAUGAACCUUGAGGACUUGGUGCUGAGUGAAACCAGCUAGACACAAAAGGACAAAUAUCGUAUGAUUUCGCUUAUACAAGGUACCCAGAGUAGUCAGAUUCACAGAGACAGGAAGUAGAACGGUGGUCGUUAGAGGCUAGGGUGAGAGGGCAACAGGGAGACAGUGUGCUCUUGUUUAAUAGGGGCAGAGUUUCAGUUUUGCAAAAUGAAAAGAGUUCUGUGGAUCGACGGUGUGACAGCAGCGCCACAAUGUGAAUGCACUCAACACUGAACUGUUCCUUAGAAACGGUGAAUACGGUGAAUUUCAUGUUAUAUGUAUUUUACCACAGUUUAAAACAUAAAAAAUUGCACAAACCAACACAAAAAGUCAAGUAUCUCACAGGUUUCUUUCUAGGAUGUACAUGGUGAUGGCAAUGUUCUGAAAGUGGCUUGUGGUGAUGGCUGCACCCCUCUGUAAAUAUACUGAAAUGUGUUGAAUUGUACGCUUAAAAUGGGCAGGGUUUAUGCUGCAUAAAUUAUACUUCUAUAAAGCUGUUCAAAGCAAGGAAGCAAAGAAAUGCUAAGGUCAUGAGGAACCCUGUAGUGUGACGGGUGCACUUAAUGUCUUGGUUGUGGCAAUGGCUUCACAGGUAUAUCCAUGUUCCCAAACCUAGCAAAUGAUGUACUUUGGACAUGUACAGUUUUACUGUAUGUCAACUAUACCUCAAUAAAGCUGCAUUUUAAAAAAAAGCAGCAUAGUUAUCCACAUAAGAAUGAACCCCUUAUAUUUUAUUAAACAAUGCCCCUUUUGAUGGGCAUUUAGGUUUCAAAUGUUAUGCCACUACAAAUAAUACUUCAAUAAAUACCUUUGUAUGAAAAAAAAGAAAUAGAGAUAUUGUGCAUCCUCCUCCUCCCCCACUGGCAAGUCACAAAAUUAGAAUCUCCCAUGGAGGGGCCCCGGGAACCUGUAAUUUUACUGAACAGUCCCCCUCAAAUUCUGAUAAUCAGACAUGUUUAGGGAAACACUGGCUCGGACUUCACAGAUUUGGCUUUUCAGGCGCUUAUGUGUUAAGAGCGUCUACUU